UCCGCUUAGGCGAAGUACAUAUUCAAGUGAGUAGAAGAAGUCUUCUCACAUGAGGCUUGACUUUGCAGGGUAUGUGUUUCUCCGUUUGUAGCCAAAUAUUAACAAAUCUUUGAUAAAGCCGAUGUGAGACGACUAUUAAUUAAUAGCGAAAUGCACACCGGACAACCAAAGAUGAGCCCAUAUGAUAGUAUUUAGAUUUUUGGAAAUGGAAAUGAGCACGAGGUAGGCAGAUGUUUCUGCGAAAAUAUGGUGAUACGUUGAUCUUCCUCGUGUUUUGGAGUUUUUCCAAACUACAUCGACUAGUUCAAGGUGGGGGUGCAUGCAUCCUCUAGUGCACUGUGAUGCCUGACUCAACAAGGAAGGCGGAGUCGUGUAUGCCGCUGCAGCUAUGACCCGUAGGUAGCAGGAAUCGUGGAAGAAUAAGGAGCUGGUUUGGUGGAAGGCCUCUUCCGGGCCCAGUACUGUUCGCUACGGCCCCCAUGUGGCAAAAGGCAAG